rnacentral:lncRNA from 1 species
UUUAGAGAGACAAGAGUAUCCGCUCAGCUUUGGCCAAUGGUGUGUCACUCUUGAAGUCAGCUGGAACUGGCUCUUUUGUAACAUGGAGCAGCUGCUGGGCUUUGUUCACAAAGGCCACCCCUGCAACUCUCCCAGAUAUUAGCAAACUCCUCAAAAUUUGCAGGAGCCUAGCAUAACAGUCCAGUCCUGCUUUGAAGUCCUGGAGAAUUUAUUAUAAACAUAGAUUUCUAGGCCAAAGAACUACUUUAAAAGAUCAAGAAGGAAAUUAUGAAUGAAAUUGUGCUCCAGCAGGUCCAUGUCUCUCCUGUACUGCGGGCUUCACAUCAGGACACAGUACUCCAGGUGAGGUCUCACUAUUGCACAGUAUAGGAGCAAGUUCAACUCACUUGUCUGUUUGAUGCAACCCAGGAUAUGAUUGACUGCCUGGGCUGUGAGGGUACAUUGCUGGCUCAUAUCCAGCACAUUAUCCAUUAUCACCAGGGCUUUAUUGGCAGGGCUGACCUCCACCUUUACAUCCUGUAGCUUGUAUUGAUAGCAGGGGGUGCCAUGACCCAGGUACAAGACCCUGCACUUGGCUUUGUUGAACCUCAUGAUGUUCUUCUGGACCCACUGAUUGAGCCUGUCUAGGCCUCUCUGGAUGUCAUCCUGUCCUGAUCUGUGUCUAUUGCACCACACAGCUUGGUGUCGCAUGCAAACUUGCUGAGGAUGUAUUCGAUCUUACUGUCAACGUAACUGAUGAAGACAAUAAAGAGCAUCAGUCACAGUAAUGAUUCCUGAGAGAGACCACUCACCACCAAUCUCCAUCUAGACAUUGAGCUACUGACCAUCAUUCUCUGGGUACAAUCUUCAAACCAAUUCCUCGUUUAUUGAACAGUCCACAUAUUAAAUCCAUAUCUUUCCAAUUUGGAGAGAAGGAUGAUUUGUAGGACCCCAUUGAAGGCCUUACAAUAGUCCAAAUAAAUUAUAUCAAUGGCUUUUCCCUUGCCCAUUGGUGCAGUUAUACCAUCAACUUAUGCACUGGUACAGUUAUACCUUUCUAUUUCUUCUUUGUACAAUAUUGACAAGCAGUUUGUUACUGGUGUUUAUGUUCUGAGAUAAGCUUCCGGGAAUACAAGGCCUGGGUUUGUAGGCAUGGUUUUUAUCAUUCUUGUAAAAAGACAUCUCCUAAAUUUGGAGUAGAUGUCUAUUCUAAUCUUAUGGAAUGAAACACUAUAAAACACUGCAAAAAUUCAGUGGAAUAAAUCAUUAUUUCUCCCAGGUGUUUUGCAAGCAUUUUCAGGUUCUUUAAAAGCUUUAAAAUUUUUUGAAAGAUACUUUAGAUUUAAAGACACUGAUGAAUAUGUAGAAAAUAAUCACCAGAAAAAUCACCACAAAUCCAGCUUAAGUCCCAUUAUAUCAGUCCCACUAUGUAAUUCAAUCAGUAUUUGUUACCUGAUUAAAAUAUUUACAUAACUCCUGCAGUUAUGCAUCAUGAGAAGCAAAUAAGCCUGAGAGAAAAGACUAAAAUUACUGUCAAUGUGACAGUUCUUCCAUCUCUCACCUGUCCAUUACCUUUUAUUGCAUUGUCAUUCCCCUAAACUAUUCUCUCUGAAAUAAAAAAUGGCAGGUCUAAAUUUUCCACAUUCAAAUGUAUCUGUGUAAGCAGAAAAUAUGGAACUGAUGAAGGCAUAAACUUGCAAGCAGACAAAUCUGUAAAUGGGAAAAAAAAAAAAAAAAAAAAAAAGGAGGGAAAAAAUAAAAAGAAAAUUAAAAAAUUACUUAAGGUGUCUGAAUUCUAGCCUAACAAAUGAGAGAACAUUAUCUUCUAAGGCAGUCUAAAACAAAAGCAUGUUAAAGAACAACAUGUAGUAAAGAUUACAGCUUAAUAAUGUUUAUUCAUACGGGAUAAGUUGUUAUGGGAUCAUGAGGUCUUUUGUUAUGCUGUGCUUUGCAUAUGCAUGAAAAGUAACUGCUUUCCUGCUGAGAACAGAAGAUCUUCAUAGUUUUGGGUACCAAGGAUUACUUCCUUAAAAUCAGCCAAGCAAAAUUAACUACACAUUAAUUUAAUAAUAUUUUCAUAUACUUAUUUAAUUUAAGGCAGUAAGAGUCAUCUUGAAUACUGGGUGACAAAUAGCUUUCCUUUUCUUCCCAGGUAUAAACAAAUACUGAUAAGAAAUUCUGCUUUUCUUCAAAGAGCUUUAGGUAUUUCAAUUUUACUUUGGUGCCU